rnacentral:rRNA from 1 species
CACGUAGGCGGAUCUUUAAGUCAGAGGUGAAAUCCCAAGGCUCAACCUUGGAACUGCCUUUGAUACUGGGGAUCUCGAGUCCGGGAGAGGUGAGUGGAACUGCGAGUGUAGAGGUGAAAUUCGUAGAUAUUCGCAAGAACACCAGUGGCGAAGGCGGCUCACUGGCCCGGAACUGACGCUGAGGUGCGAAAGCGUGGGGAGCAAAACA